rnacentral:rRNA from 1 species
AUUGAACGCUGGCGGCAGGCCUAACACAUGCAAGUCGAACGAGUGGCGGACGGGUGAGUAAUGUCUGGGAAACUGACUGAUGGAGGGGGAUAACUAAUGGAAACGGUAGCUAAUACCGCAUACCAUCGGGUGUGCCCAGAUGGGAUUAGCUAGGAGGUGGGGUAAAGGCUCACCUAGGCGACGAUCCCUAGCUGGUCUGAGAGGAUGACCAGCCCCACUGGAACUUAGACACGUGCCAGACUCCUACGGGCGGCAGCAGUGGUGAAUAUUGCACAAUGGGCGCAAGCCUGAUACAGCCAUGCCGCGUGUAUGAAGAAGGCCUUCGGGUUGUAAAGUACUUUCAGCUGGGAUGCGUUACCCGCAGAAGAAGCACCGGCUAACUCCGUGCCAGCAGCCGCGGUAAUUC